AAUGGAUAGCGCAUUGGACUUCUA
rnacentral:piRNA from 3 species